GGGCUAGUAAUGGUUUCGACAGGGAUUGUGAAGCUGGAGAAGCGAGUCGUAUGCAAUGCGUUAAAUGGCAAAAUUAAAAUUAAACGCUGAAGAUAAUUUAGCUUACGCUGCCUAAUUUCGGCAGUAGUCUGACCUAGUGCACCUACACAUUAGGACCCAGGCUUCAAACAUGUAGGAAACGACAUCAUCAAAGCUUUGAGAUGGUGGGCGUAUUAUGAAGCUACUGAAGCGGUUUGGAUGUUUGUUUCCGUGCCGCGGAGGGAAUGUCAAAUAACAAACUACACUCGUAGAAGUACAGGGGAUUGAUUUUUGGACACGGGUUCGACUCCCGUCUAGUCCACUU
rnacentral:tmRNA from 1 species